rnacentral:rRNA from 1 species
UACGUAGGGGGGCAAGCGUUGUCCGGAUUUAUUGGGCGUAAAGAGCGUGUAGGCGGUUAGGUAGGUCCGUUGUGAAAACUCGAGGCUCAACCUCGAGACGCCGAUGGAAACCCCCUGGCUAGAGUCCGGAGGAGGAGAGUGGAAUUCCUGGUGUAGCGGUGAAAUGCGCAGAUAUCAGGAAGAACACCCCGUGGCUAAGGCGGCUCUCUAGUACGGUACUGACGCUGAGACGCGAAAGCGUGGGGAGCGAACAGG